rnacentral:tRNA from 1 species
GACGGUAGAGCUCAGUGGCAGAGCAUGUGCUUAGCAUGCACGAUGUGCUGGGUUCAAUCCCCAGUCCCACCA